CCUACGGGUGGCAGCAGUGAGGAAUAUUGGUCAAUGGACGGAAGUCUGAACCAGCCAUGCCGCGUGCAGGAUGACGGCUCUAUGAUUUUUAAACUGCUUUUGUACGAGAAUAAUAGUUCUUACGUGUAGGGAUUUGAAUGUAUCGUACGAAUAAGGAUCGGCUAACUCCGUGCCAGCAGCCGCGGUAAUACGGAGGAUUCGAGCGUUAUCCGGAUUGAUUGGGUUUAGGGGGUGCGUAGGCUGUAGGAGAAGUUAGAGGUCAAAUGUCGGGGCUUAACCCCGUGCCUGCCUCUGAUACUGUUCGACUUGAGAGCGGAUGCGGCAGGCGGAAUGAGUAGUGUAGCGGUGAAAUGCGUAGAUAUUA
rnacentral:rRNA from 1 species